CGGAGGGUGCAAGCGUUAAUCGGAAUUACUGGGCGUAAAGGGUGCGUAGGCUGGGAGAUAAGCCAGACGUGAAAUACCAAAGCUCAACUUUGGUGCUGCAUCUGAAACUAUCCUUCUUGAGGAAUGGCGGAGAAAACGGAAUUCCACGUGUAGCGGUGAAAUGCGUAGAUAUGUGGAAGAACAUCUGUGGCGAAAGCGGUUUUCUAGCUUGAUCCUGACGCUGAGGCACGAAAGCAAGGGGAGCAAACAGGAUUAGAUACCCUGGUAGUCCUUGCCUUAAACGAUGUAUACUUGGCGUAGUUGGUCUCAACCCCGACUGUGCCGAAGCUAACGCGAUAAGUAUACCGCCUGGGGAGUACACUCGCAAGGGUG
rnacentral:rRNA from 1 species